rnacentral:rRNA from 1 species
GAUGAACGCUAGCGGCAGGCCUAAUACAUGCAAGCCGAACGGCAAGUUUGAUAGCACUCUUGGACCUAGAGUGGCGCACGGGUGCGUAACACGUAUGCAACCUGCCCGCGACAGGAGGAUAGCUCCCCGAAAGGGGAAUUAACCCUCCAUAACACCAUGAGAAGGCCUCUGAUUAUGGUUAAACCGCAAGGGGUCGCGGAUGGGCAUGCGGUUGAUUAGCUAGUUGGCGGGGUAAAGGCCCACCAAGGCGGUGAUCAAUAGGGGUUCUGAGAGGAAGGUCCCCCACACUGGCACUGGGAUACGGGCCAGACUCCUACGGGAGGCAGCAGUAGGGAAUAUUGGACAAUGGUUGCAAGACUGAUCCAGCCAUGCCGCGUGCAGGAAGAAGGCCUUCUGGGGCGUAAACUGCUUUUUCCUGUGGAUAAAAUACCCGUGCGCGGGGAAUUGAAGGUAACAGGGGAAUAAGCCACGGCUAACUACGUG